CCCUUAGAUGUUCUGGGCUGCACACGUGCUACACUGGCAGGUUCAGCGAGCUUCAUGCCCUGAUCUGAAAGGAAUGGGAAAUCUUUUCAAAACCUGCCGUGCUUGGGAUAGAUGUUUGCAAUUAUUCAUCUUCAACGAGGAUUGCCUUGUAAGCGCACGUCAUCAGCGUGCAUUGAAUACGACCCUGUAUUCUGUACACACCGCCCGUCGCUCCUACCGGUUGAAGUUUUCGGUGAGUUGACAGGAGGAUUUUUUUGAAACUGGUUCGCCAGUGGAUUUUAGAUCCAAAUGCCAACGAAUCGAUGGCUUUAGAGGAAGGAGAAGUCGUAACA
rnacentral:rRNA from 1 species